AUGCGGACACCAGGGUGUGGCUUCAGGGCACCACGGGUGCUGAUUUCCUCCUUCCUCUCCUUUCUCUUUCCAGGCCCCACCUCUUCUGCUGACUUUCUUCUCCUCUUCCCUUUCCUCUCUCCUUUCUUUUUCAUCUUCUCCCAUUCUCCCCUUCCCUCCAGGCUCCUCUCUCUCCUCUCCUCUCCUCCAUCUUUCCCUUCUCUCUUCUCCCUCCAGACUCCCCUUCUCUCCUCUCCAGCCCUCUUCCCAGCCUCUGUCUCUCUUCUUCCUCACUUCUGUCCUGUGUUGUUUACCAAGGCAAUUCACCUAGUGCUUCUGCUGGAGACGAAUCACUGCAAAGAUGCAGAAGACACAUCAAUGUCACAAGAGACCUUGAAACAUCUCCAAGGAGAAGGGAGAAGAGAAAGGAGUGAGGGUGCCACCUGUGGAUUGGUUGUUUGUGGCUUCUGGUUUAUGACUGCAACUGUGCGUGGAAAUUAGGACUCUGUGAGGGUAAGGUCGGUUGACUUUGCCCAGGGAUGGUCCUGUAACCCAAUCCAGAUCAAUCGGAUAGCUCCCCUAUAUAUUUAUCAGCAUCAUUAGUGACGUCACUUUCUUUUUCUGUCAGGAGCAGGUACUUCAGACGUGGUAGGCUCAGGACUGGCAGCCACUAUUAACACCUGAGAGAGGAUACCACGAAGACCUGAGACAUGGACCCAGUGCAGAGAGGGAGACGGGGAAGACUCCUGAAGGAACACAUGGGAGUGUCGGAUCUCAUCACAUGCCAAGCCAGUCUAUUAGUUAUUGGAGACAAUACAUUCUCAGUUUCGUUUAAGGUGGUUUGAAUGAAGCUUUGGUCACUUACAGAUGCAAAGUUCUAGGCAGGUAUGAGUAAAAGAGACACAGAGCGUUGGUUGUGCGGGAUGCCUGGCCACAGAACGCUGGAGGAGGUGAGUCUGGGCAGAAGCUUCUCGUCGUGUUCGCUGCUUGAUAGGCAGAGCUGAGAACGAUGCUUGGCACAUGACAGGCAGUCAGUGACUAUCAGCAGUAGAAUUUCAGUGAGGUCAGGCAACGGGUACAUCCCAUUUUGUUUUCUUAAGCCUAGAGAGCUGCUAGUAGCAGGUUUAGCAAUUUCCCUUCUGUUUGUGAUUGCUUCUGGUAAGUCCUUUUUACAAAAUUCAAGCUUGUCCCUUGUGCCUGUGACAUGAAGUGGUGUCGCCCUGGCCUGGGCUGGAGAGGGGGCGGGAGUGUCCUGGGGGCGGAUGGAGGGGAGGAGAGGAGAAGGUUCACAGGCCCUAAGAUGUGGGUGUAGGGAAAGAAGCUAGGAUCAGGGCUACUAUGUUUCCCUCUUAUAGCUCUUUCUGUGCCUGCAGUGGAGAUCUCCGUGCUAUUCGAAGGUGUGGUUGUCACCUCUAUUCACCCAGAGGUUGUUUUCUUCCCUUCUCCUUCUUUUCUGCUUCUCUUCCUUCCUUGUGCCAUCUUUGAUGGUAUCCAGUAGUCUCUCCCUCUAUCUCUCUCACUGCUCCCUUUUUAACUUUUCUUUCAUUUUACACAGCUGUUCCUCCCACUCAUGGUCUGAAAGUGAGGUGGCUUUCAAAGGUUGGUUUUCCUGCCCGCCCCUCCCCGAGCCCAUCCCGAGCUCUCUGCUCUGCCCCUCCCCACCCCGGUUCCCUCAAAGCUUGGGCGUGCUGUGGAAAAUGUGGUUGUGCGGGUGCAGGCUGUAGAUUGAGAUGACAGAGCCCCUGGACAGGGUGCCAGCCUUGCCAACUCUCCAGUGCCAGCUGGCCAGAGCUGAAACGCCUGCAGCUUGGCCAGAGCGUUCUGCACAAUUUUCCCCCAGCUGCCUCAGUAGAGGUCAUCGCCAUCUCCCAGUAGGCACUGAGUUGGACCAGUGUGGGAGAACACAGAAGACCCAGUGGGUCACACAGUCCUCAGAAAGGGUGAUACUCAGGACAGAGAGUGGAGUCCUUGAAGUCACAGGUUCAUGUCCCUGUUCUUAUUUCUAGAAGGCUGCUUCUGGCAAGUUCCUUAACCUAUUGAGUGUUAGUUUCUAUAUAAAAUACAUUCACCCCUUGGUAUCCAUGGGCAAGGGGUUCUAGGACCUCUUCUCCAUAUUUCCAAUCUGUGGAUGCUCAACUCCUUAUAUAAAUGGCCUUGGAUCUGUGUAUACCUAUGCCCAUCCUCCUGUAGGGUUUGCCUCACCUCCGGGUGACUUGAUGACUUGUGAUGCCUUGUACAAUGCAAACGCUAUGUAAGCAGUUGUUAUCAGCACUACUUAGGGAAGAGUGACAAAAAGUUGCCUCUCUCACCUACAUCCCCCCUCACGUCUCCCUCCCUUUCUUCCUUAAUCAUCUCAGAUGCAACUAAAUGCUCUUUAUCCGGGCGGAUUUCCCACCUUUGAGUUUUUGGCAGCAGCCGGCACGUGAACUACAUCAUGGUGCCCCUGUCCUGCGGUGGCUUCUCAAGAUAUUUUCCUAUCUGCAACAGUCCUUUCUCCGAAAAGAAUCACCCAGAUGUCCCAAGGGAAACAUUAAUUCUCCAUCUCCUGGAUGAAUGAACCAAUAAGCAAGGAGGCGGGGUUUGGUGAAAAGGAAGUGGUCCCCACACAGAUGGCAUAUUUUGUGGGCAGCAGCCAUACUUGAGGUGUGCUGAGCUGGUGGGGGUGUUCCUGUCUCCCAGAACACUUGGUGUUCUCUGGCCAUCCACAGUGCGCCCCACAGAACACCGGCGAAGAUGGGCUGCCAUAAAGGGACAGUCUGAAAGUCCCGCUGAGGACAGAAUGGAAGGACCUGGAAGCAAGCACAGGCUGGCAGCGGAGACUGAAGCCACAGUGGGGAUGAGCACAAGUCUGGAGUCUUCUGGGCCACAGCUUCUUCAGGCUGCGUUCCUGGCUCUUCCCGCCUCCAUGCAGGGUUAGGGUUCUCUGUGCUUCCAGGACUUCCAGGACAUGACCAGCAUCUGCCUUAUGGCUUGUGUUUACUUCUGAGCUCCUUGAAAGCUAGGACCACUCCACACUGACCUUUGUGCGGCUCCUGCUGUGGUGUGUUUUGAGGUUUUGCACAGCGCUGCAGGAAUCAUAGGACAUCAGGAAACGUUUGCAGGUCUGGGAGCUCUGCAGUGAACGAGUACUGUCUUAGGUAACCGGAGACACAAUCUGGAAAAGAAAAAUUGUAAAAUACAUAUAUCUGAAAAGGCUUCACAUAGGUUACAGGUAUGAAACGAAUGACUCCACACCAGUGUGUGGCUGAGCUCUAGGUCUUAUGGAGGCUGUUAGCAAAAGCAAAGAAUCCUGGCUUCGAACCUGGGGUCAACCUGGAAGUCGGGUGGAGAACUCUGAGAGGAAUGGGAGGAGCAUGCCCCCUCCCCUGGUGGAGAGCCUUGGAGGGACGGCAGUUUAAGAUCCAGUGUACUUGACAGCAUCUCUUCCAAUCUGAAAAUAAACUGAACUUCCUGAGCUGGUUUUUUGAAAACCAAAGCUUGGAGGACUUGUUUGACUUCUAUUCUCCCUGUGUCAGCAUUUGGAAGAAAAACAGGGAACAAUUAACACCGAAAAGAAACCCACCGUAUUAACAAUCAGCCUUGGGGGGCGGGGACACAGAAAGCUAAGGGGUCUAACUUUUUACAUUGCAUGAAGCCUAAAGAAUUAUGGACUUACCUAGAACUCAAGCUCUUCAUCUUUCUUCACUUGAUCCCUAUCCAAGUAGCUACUGUAGAAUACUUUAAUAUUCUCUGAUGCAUCAGUAAUGUCUUGCAAUGUGAUCAUUAAAUGCACUGAAAUUUUGAUGAGAUCAUUAAUAAUACCUCUUGUCAGUGACUUAACUCUAGUUAAUAACUUCCUUGUGACUUUAGUCAAAUAGAUUUUCCUGGGAAUAUUAAUUUCCAAAGGUUUAUGGAUGUUCUUCGAUUGUUAGCCAGUGACAGAAAUAGCCGUUUCGCUGCGGCAUGUUUUGAGGUUUUGCCCUUACUUCUAAGAAAAAGGCGAUAAUUGCGUAAAC
ensembl:lincRNA